rnacentral:rRNA from 1 species
UACGUAGGGCGCAAGCGUUGUCCGGAAUUACUGGGCGUAAAGGGCUCGUAGGUGGCCAACUAAGUCAGACGUGAAAUCCCCAGGCUCAACUUGGGAACUGCGUCUGAUACUGGAUGGCUUGAAUUCGGGAGAGGGAUGCAGAAUUCCAGGUGUAGCGGUGAAAUGCGUAGAUAUCUGGAGGAAUACCGGUGGCGAAGGCGGCAUCCUGGACCGAGAUUGACACUGAUGAGCGAAAGCUAGGGGAGCAAACGGG